rnacentral:rRNA from 1 species
CCCUUAGAUGUUCUGGGCCGCACGCGCGCUACACUGACGAAUGCAACGAGCUUAUAACCUUGGCCGAAAGGUCUGGGUAAUCUCCAAAUUUCGUCGUGAUGGGGAUAGAUUAUUGCAAUUAUUAAUCUUCAACUAGGAAUGCCUAGUAAGCGCAAGUCAUCAGCUUGCGUUGAUUACGUCCCUGCCCUUUGUACACACCGCCCGUCGCUCCUACCGAUUGAAUGGUCCGGUGAAGCGUUCGGACCGUGGCCUUUGGACGGUUCGCCGUCUGUUGGCUGCGGGAAGUUCGUUAAACCUUAUCAUUUAGAGGAAGGAGAAGUCGUAACA